rnacentral:lncRNA from 1 species
GUUGGUCAGGCUGGUCUUGAACUCCUGACCUCAGGUGAUCCGCCCACCUCGGCCUCCCAAAGUGCUGGGAUUACAGGCUUGAGCCACCACGCCCAGCUUAAAUGUGAUUCUUGAUACUGUUUUAAGUAUUUAGGUUGCAAUUAACUUUGGCAAAGUCAGUCGACAUAAGCCCUGUGGAUAUGGCCUUAUGUACACUGUAAUGCAGACAGGUGCUUUUCAUCAUUCAUGUAACAUUCUCACACAGUUGAGGAUAUUCAUCUCCUCACCAAUUCCAGAUUGUAAAUGUACCAUCUUAAACAACUCUGAGGUCACCAAACAGUAGUUAUUUGACUGUUAAUAGGUGCUACUUGCUUGCAAGGAUUUGGAGAUGUAAACAUGAAGAAAAUAUAGUUACUGCCUGCAAAGAAUUAACAUCCGUCUAGUGGGAGAAACAAACACACCCCACUCACUAAGUAUGGAAAACUGAUUCUGGGAGGAAGCAGAAAUGUCCCUAGAUAACAGCAUGUAUUGCAGAUACCCAAAUGUUUAUUGUUUUCUCAGCCCUUCAAUUUUGCUUUUCUCUCUCAAAUGCUACAGACUCAAUUUAAAUCUUACCUUUGAUUGUUGAAAAAAGUCACUAAGAUGUGAAUACAGAAUAGACAUUGAGAGGUUAUAUAUGUCCAAAACUCAUCUGUCCAGCAGUCACCGUCCUCUUCAGAGUGGUCACGUUGGGCAGAUGGGCACAGGUGCUGGUGAUGCCUCUCCUGGGCAAAACGCCCCAUUUGUGGCACUUUCAGAUACUAUUUAUUUACUUUUUAAGAGAGAGACAGGCUCACUCUGUCACCCAGGCCAGAGUGCAGUGGCACGAUCAUAGUUACCGCAGCAUCAAAUUCCUGGACUGAAGCGGUCCUUUUGCCUCAGCCUCGCGGAUAGCUAGGACCACAAGCAGUAGAGACAAGAUCUCCGUAUGUUAUACAGGCUGGCCUCAAGUGAUCCUCUUACCUUGGCCUCCCAAACACCGGGAUUAUAGGCGUGAGCCCCCGUGCCUGGCCUCAAAUUUUAUUUUAGCUCGACCCUAUGGCAGUUUGUGUUUGGAAAUCGUGAUGUGAAGUCAUCAGUAUCUGUGCAUAUCCCUAAACUAAUGGUUUAAGCUUUGAAGCAUGCGCAAGCAACAUGAACAACUGAAUACAGAAAGUAACUGAAAGCAGCACAGAGACUGUGUCGUCCCUACAGACUUCUAACCCUGCAUUCAGCAACAUCAUUCGACCCGAAGCCAGAUUCAAACCCUAUGUCUUCUAGCAGGUUCUGAAUUUAGAGGACAAAUAAGGUGACAGGUACUAAGAGAAGAGUGAAUUAAGUGAAAAUCUUCCCUUUGUUAAGGAGCUUUUUAACAAGAGUGUCUUUGCUGGGUGGUGAUUGGGAUGUAACAGAUCAGUUCUACUGGACUUGUAGCUUGAUAGUGAAAUAAGGAGCUUGGGCUAAGGUAUAAAUCAACACACUGCUUCCUUCCUCCAGAAGGUCUUACUGUGAAGGAAAAAAUGUCAGUUGAACUAAAUUGUGCUUCACGCCUCGGUAGAUUUGCAUUCUGAUGCAAGCCCCCAACCUCACGGACCAAGAGGAUCCCUGGCUGCCUGUGAAUGGCCCACAUUUGAGUGGUGCUAACUUGAUGUGAGUAGGCAUUAAUUAUGGGUGCGGCUACUAAGAUGGGAAAAACUAUCACGACAGUGGCACCACCUGAUUUCAUGAUGUACCAUAUGCAGUAACCCAUGUUUGAGGUACAGAAUUGAAGCUGAUUUUUCUGCAAAAGAUGAAUUUCUAUAAACAAUCCCAUUUUUAUAUUUUAUUAUUAAAACAAAAAUACCUCUCUUUGCUAGAGAGUUAUAUGUAUGACUUAAAUUAUUAGCUAUGGUUUGCAUUUAGUACAUGGCAGAUUGCCUGUAAGUCUGUUCAUUUUAACAACAUACAGGGCUGGGCACGGUGGCUCACGCCUGUAAUCCCAGCACUUUGGGAGGUUGCGGGUGGAUCACUUGAGGUCAGGAGUUCGAGACCAGCCUGGCCAACAUGGCAAAACCCCGUCUCUAUGAAAAAUAUAAAAAUUAGCUGGGCAUGGUGGCAGGCACCUGUAAUCCCAGCUACUCGGGAGGCUGAGGCAGGAGAAUCGCUUGAACCUGGGAGGCGGAUGUUGCAGUGAGCAGAGAUCGUGCCAUUGCACUCCAGCCUGGGAACAAGAGUGAAACUCUCAAAAGCAGAAACAAAAACCCAACAUAUAUGGGCUGUUAGAUAGUAAUUGUAAUUUCGUAUAAAUAGUAAAUGAGUACAUCUUGAUUAAAAGCUAUGAAUUCAGAAUUGCUUUUAAAUAUAUAGGGGGUUUUUUGAAAUUUAUUACAGUGCAAUUGAAAAUACACUUAAAAUACUGCAGGAUGCUUAGUGCUCAGUGUUAUGUAUGAACUUGUGGACUUUACAAUGCAGGUUGAGAACUGCUAAUGUAUAGAAUGACUAAACAGCUGUCUUUCAGGGUAUCAUUUUUAAAGGUAUAAGGAACAAACUUUAAUGUAUUGAAAUGCAUAAAUAAAAUUUAUUUUUUAUAUUUUGUUUAGAGUAACAGUGAAUGUUUAUUUUGAAAGACCAGCUUGGCCGGGCACGGUGGCUCACACCUAUAAUGCCAGCACUUUGGGAGGCCGAGGCAGGUGGAUCACCUGAGGUCAGGAGUUCGAGACCAGCCUGGCCAACAUGGCAAAACCCUAUCUUUACUAAAAAUACAAAAAUUAGCCAGGCAUAGUGGCAGGUGCCUGUAAUCCCAGCUACUCGGGAGGCUGAGGCAGGAGAAUCACUUCAACCCAGUGGGGGGAGGUUGCAGUGAGCUGAGAUUGCGCCAUUGCACUCCAGCCUGGGCACAAGAACAAGCCUCUGUCUCAAAAAAAAAAAAAAGCUUUGGUGGUAAACUGAGGUCUAUACCUUUCCUUUACCUUUUAAAGAAGGCUACUUAGCUCUAUGAUUUAGGAAGAAAGAUUCAUUCUCUCCACCCCCAGAGAGAGAGAACGCCCAGGAGGUGGAAUGUUAACCACUGGAGAACUUGGAGAGGUUUAUGCGGGUGAAGUGUGUUCUUGGAACUUUUCUGUAAGUGUAUAAUUGUUUCAAAAUAGAUGUUUUGAAAGCAUUCAUAAUUCAGAACUCAUUCU